GUUCUUUUUAAAGCUUGAUCAUGCGUAACGUGGAAAGAGAGAAAAGUUCUCUUCAGGAUGUCAGGUCAGCCUUACAGUGACCUCUUUAUUUGAGGGGUCCAACAGGG
ensembl:snoRNA